AGAGUUUGAUCAUGGCUCAGGAUGAACGCUGGCGGCGUGCCUAAUACAUGCAAGUCGAACGAGGUAGCAAUACCGAGUGGCGAACGGGUGAGUAACACGUAGGUAACCUGCCCUUAAGCUUGGGAUACCCAGAGGAAACUUUGGCUAAUACCGGAUAACAACAGAGAAGGCAUCUUCUUUGCUUGAAAGGCCCCUUCAAGGGUCACUUAAGGAUGGACCUGCGGCGCAUUAGCUAGUUGGUGAGAUAACAGCCACAAGGCGAGGAUGCGUAGCCGAACUGAGAGGUUGAUCGGCCACAUUGGAACUGAGACACGGUCCAAACUCCUACGGGAGGCAGCAGUAAGGAGUUUUCGGCAAUGGGGGGAAACCCUGACCGAGCAACGCCGCGUGAGCGAUGACGGCCCUAUGGGGUUGUAAAGCUCUGUUGUAAGCCAUGAAUGACAGCUUGAGGAAAUGCAAGUUGUUUGACGACAGCUUACCAGAAAGCCACGGCUAACUACGUGCCAGCCGCUGC
rnacentral:rRNA from 1 species